UACGGAGGGUGCAAGCGUUAUCCGGAUUCACUGGGUUUAAAGGGUGCGUAGGUGGGCUAGUAAGUCCGUGGUGAAAUCUCCAAGCUUAACUUGGAAACUGCCGUGGAUACUAUUAGUCUUGAAUAUUGUGGAGGUAAGCGGAAUAUGUCAUGUAGCGGUGAAAUGCUUAGAUAUGACAUAGAACACCGAUAGCGGAGGCAGCUUGCUACACAAUCAUUGACACUGAGGCACGAAAGCGUGGGGAUCAAACAGG
rnacentral:rRNA from 1 species